GCUCCUAGUACGAGAGGACCGGAGUGGACGCAUCACUGGUGUUCGGGUUGUCAUGCCAAUGGCACUGCCCGGUAGCUAAAUGCGGAAGAGAUAAGUGCUGAAAGCAUCUAAGCACGAAACUUGCCCCGAGAUGAGUUCUCCCUGAGACUUUAAGUCUCCUGAAGGAACGUUGAAGACGACGACGUUGAUAGGCCGGGUGUGUAAGCGCAGCGAUGCGUUGAGCUAACCGGUACUAAUGAACCGUGAGGCUUAACCUUACAACGCCGAAGGUGUUU
rnacentral:rRNA from 1 species